CUUGCAGAGGUUGAAGAUAUGUACAGGCUUCUAGUAUGGAUGCUGUGUGGAGAGUAUCAGCAGAGCAGACAACACAGUGAAAUGUAAAGACAGACAUGAGAGUCAUUCCUUGUGCACCUAUGGGCACUGGAUGCCACCCUAUUGAUGGGACGUGUCUGCAGCCAUGGAGCAGAAAUUGCACUUGACCCAUGGAUGCCCCAGGAACUGUGGUUCAUGUGAAGAUGCCAUAAAAGCCCACUGGAGUGCAUUCUUUGGAGAGCCAAGGUUUGGGCAAUGAGUUCCAUUGCCUGUUCAAUGUACUGUACUGUAGAUAGCACAACCAUGUGUGAAACAAUAUCCUGCUCUGUACAUCUCUUGCAGUCUUCCCAGAGGAAUUUCACAGGGGCCCAUGUGAUCAGUGGAUGUUUCAGCUUAUUGCUUCCUUGAUGCCAAACUUUACUAUCAGUACAUCCCUAAUCAUUUACUUAGCCGGGUUAAGAAAAUUGCAGUCUGCAGUUCAGAGCCUGAUAAUAAUGUCAUAAAUCUCAACAAAAUCAGAUUCUAGAUCCUCCUCCUCUUUUUUUUUUUUAUGUGCCACAUC